rnacentral:tRNA from 1 species
CAGGGAGACAACAAAAUGUUAAAUAUUAAUUUUGUCACCUUAGGUCGAUCGGUAUCUCACAUCCUUAACUAUUUAAGGAUUUUAUUUCCUAAGUUUUUUCUAGGUCACACCCAUUACUUUUCCUGGGCCAUUAGCUCAGGUGGUUAGAGCGCACCCCUGAUAAGGGUGAGGUCCCUGGUUCAAGUCCAGGAUGGCCCAUAUCUCUAUGUUGGGGGUAUAGCUCAGUUGGUAGAGCGCCUGCUUUGCAAGCAGGAUGUCAGCGGUUCGAGUCCGCUUACCUCCACUGAUCACCACCUCUUCAUAAUUUAUAGAUGGGAAUUGUUUUGUGAUGUGAUCAAAUUCUGAACGAAUCUAGCUUCCUAAUCAAUCGUAUUAAGAUGCUGGACUCAUUGAAUUAAUUUCAUUGUUUUCAGAGAACCUUGACAACUGCAUAGAUUAUUUUUAAAGACAAUAAGCAUCUUUAAUGAUGCAGAUUUAUUAUUUGUGCGAAUGCAUUAAAUAACAAUUCUAUUAAGCUGAUGCUUCAAUUUUUGAAGUUAUU